AGGUGCUGGCAGCGGCGGAAGCCGAGCGCUGCAAGACCACCGGGCUGCGCCUGCUGGAGCUCGCCGACCACGCUGCGCUUGUUGCCGCUGCCUACGAGGUGCCCGCCCUCAUUUUAUCUAGUCUUGUUACAGUUCCCAUUACAUGUCUUUGUACCAAAUCCCAGUCCAUGUCUUUGUGCCAAUUUCCCAGUUCAUGUCUUUGUCAGGUCUGUCUGGAAGAACUGGAAAGUAUACCUAUUAUUAUUACUGCCCCAGUAGGUGUUCAAGCUCCUACAUGAAGUGAAGCUUUGUCUAAUAUUGCUGUUCCGGCCAUUCAAACGUUUUGAAAUAUCUGUUUAUGUAUGCACCUGAGACCGUAUCAGAAACUCUAGCAAGCCAUGACUCACAGAGCUUGGUGGGUCUGCAUCACGACAGGACGAGAAGCAGGCGCUGUUGGAAGAGCUGACGGCGUCGCGGCAGCGGCUGGCGGCGGCGCAGGAUGCGGCUGCAUGCGCGCACAAGUCGCCCGCCACGUCAGACCGCCAGCAGGCCGCCAUAGAGGCCCAGCUGCAUGACGCCAGG
rnacentral:lncRNA from 1 species